AAGAAUGAUUGAUGUUAAUUAAUGAAUAACUAUAAAAAAUAAAUCAGUACAUUAAUAUUAAUUAAUUAUUUAAGAAUUUAUAUUUUUAUUUAAUAUAUUAAUUUGAUAAAUUAUUACAAUAUUAAUUAUUUAAAUAAUACAAAUAUCAAUUAAUGAUUGAGUAAGCAGAUCAAAUUGUAAAUUAUUUAAUUAUAUAAUUAAUUAUAAAUAAUAAAUUAAUUACUAUUUAAAUACUUAUUAAUUAAUAACUUAAAUAAUUAAUUAGUUAAUUAUUAAAAAAUAAUUGCAUUAUUUAAGAAUAUUUUAUAAUUAUUUAUAACUUAAUUUAUACAGGAAUAAAAUAGAGAAUAGCUUAUUCCACCUAAUGGAUGGAAUUACUAUUCUUUUCUCGUAAGGGGUUAUUCCGAAAUAAUUCGUUUA
rnacentral:lncRNA from 1 species